rnacentral:lncRNA from 1 species
CUGACUUCAACAUAUUCAAUUAAAUACACACAACACAAUACUAUACUAAAAAAUAAAAAUCGUAAAUAUUCGGCGAAAUUGUAGACUGACUUCAACAUAUUCAAUUAAAUACACACAACACAACACGAACAUACCAGGGGCGAACAGGUAUCAGGGCGAACGGUCUCAGGGCGAAAAGGAACUAGGGCGAACAGUAACUAGGGCGAACCGAAAUCAGGGCGGACGGACC